GGUUAUAUUCAUAAGUAAAUCAGAAGUCAAAAGAAUUAAUUUAAAUAAUUAUUCAUUUAGUCUAAUAAUAUAAUAAUGAUUAUUGGGGUAACAAUAAAACUAAAAACAAAAAUGGAUUAGUACCCAUGUAUUAUCCUUAAAUUCUAUAAUAGUAAAUGUAAAAAUUAAAAUCUCAUGGCUGCGACUAUUAAGAAUUAUUAGAGAAUUUUGGAAAACAAGUUGAUAUUCCCCAAUUUUAUUCACUAUUUAAAGUAUAUUUAACGUAUGGCUGUGUUAAAAUUAUUUAUAUAAUUUUUUUAUCAAGUUACAUGUAAUUAUAAUAGGAAUUUCUAAAAUGCAAUUUAUAUAUAAAGUUAUAAAUUAACUAUUUUUAAUAUUUAAUAGUAGGAGGUGCCCGCCUUCGAAUUUCUUCUUAAAGGGGUUCAAAUUGUCCGUCAUUC
rnacentral:rRNA from 1 species